UCAAGUUAACCCGUCCCUCAGAGGAUGCCUCAGACACUAAGUAGCAGGCAUUGCGUGGGCAUUUGCUGUUUAGAAAAAAAGGGGGGAAGGGGGUCUAAAAGAUCCUUCCACUUUUGAUCAUGGAACCUGGAUGUUCUCCACAGCAGAGGGAAGACAUGUGAAUGAAUGCAUUUCUAUUUCAGGGGCACAGACAAGGCCUCGACUGCUCCCUGACUUAAGUAUUCACUGAAAAUGGCACGGUUCCAGUAGAAGAAACAGAAAGUAAAAAUGAACCUUAACUACAGCUUCUGUGAUCAGCGAUAGGGAUGAACAGCACGGCGUGCUCCCAUUAGAAGUCGCUAGCCUCACAGAUGCCCCUUUAGGUACAUCUAUUAUGUCCAUUUCACGUGUAUGAAAAAAAGAGACCCAGACACAGGCCAUCUCUCCCUGAAAUGGAGACCAGCUCACCGUCUCACAAAGAAGCCUACAGUCCUUGGAACCGGACAUUAUUUUACUUCAAAAGAAUGUACUCUGAAAAAAAGAGAGUGGUCCAAAGCGCCUGGUGUCGGCAGAUGGAAGAGCACUCUAUCUGGGGAUCUUACAGAGCAGGUGACCAACAGACCUUGCUUGCUACUGGUUUGGCCAGCUGGAUGACUUGAGCAAGACAUGUCGCCGCUUCACCCCUCUGUAAAAUGCCUCAAGUCAACCAGGUGACCUCUGCGUCCAUUCCUACAAGCCAACAAGUUAAAAGCUUAUUGCUCAUCUUAAUAAAGACGUACUCAAGCUAAGAAGUACCAUUGAAGCAUCACCCUGUGGUGCUCUGGCCCAGCCACUCAGCUCUCUAUGGUGUUUUGGUCAAGAUAGCAAAAGGCAAGCAGGGUGGCCUAGCCCUAUAGCUCUUGGCUCAGCUUUGAAGGAAUUGAUGACUCAGCGUGUGGCUCUCCGCCCUGUGGGUCAGGGCCACGAGUACCCAGGUGGGCCUUGGUAUGGGAUUGUGCCAGCACUUUGAGGUGAGCCAGGGACUUGCAAUGUGGACUAUUUCAAUAGCCACUUAGAUUCCAGAGCCCUGCGUUCGAGCUGAGAACUGCCAACUUCCAUCCCUGAUCAAACUGCAGCCUUGGAUAAUCAAGCUCCUCUAUUGGCCCAUGCACUUCAGAGCUGUGUGACAUCCACUUCCCUGUGUUUUGUUUGAGUGUCCUUUUCCUGCCCAAGAAUCUGAGGGCAAGAAGAAUGAACUGGGAGAGUGUUCCUAACCCAACUGGACCGGCUUUCCAUGUCAAUAAAAAGAGAAGAAUAAAACAGGAAAAAAGAAAGAAAAAAAACUAUCAAAUCCUUUUCCCCUCCCCUUUCCCUUGAGGGCAAAGGAAACUUACUCCCUCAAAACAAAGAGAGCCGGGUGUGUCAACACGGAGUCAUGGUAGGUGGGGAUCUUGGAAAUCCGCGAAAGGGAGUCAUAGGGAUUCAUGCAACACUGAUGUGUAUGUAUGAAAAUCUCUUUCUGUUUUUUAGGGGUGCAGGGUUGCGAAACCCAGAGCCCUAUUUUUAAGCUAUGAGAUGUCAACAUAAUUGUUUUGAGGGCCACCAAUCAAACCACACAUUUUGCCCUACCCGAUUAUAAUGAGUGCUCAUUAGGUAUUGUGAUAACAACACCCUCCUUGUUUGUUAACAAAGGAGCAUUCCGUCCAUGGAUCACCCACUGCAGCUGAGGUGGCAGGAUUAGAGGCUCCCACUCCUUCCCUGGGCUUCCUGAUUCACUCCUGAGCGGGCACGUGGUCACGGGGUGCUUUCUCCUCCUGGUUCUGUCUCCUUCCUCCUCUCUUCUUUUUGUUUUCUGGGCUACACUCUACUAACCAGACCUACUAACCAGACCUACUAACCAGACCUACUAACCAGACCUACUAACCAGACCUACUAACCAGACCUACUAACCAGACCUACUAACCAGCCCCACUCUUCAGGUGAUCCUGAAAGGGAGCCUUUCUGGUCCCUGGUACACUGUUCUGAGAACUGGAAGCAAUACAAAACGGAAUUCCAAAAGCUGGGGACAUCUGCCUCGCCUCCCAAGCUCCCUGGGACUGUUGGCGAGAACCCUCACAAUCUGUUAAACCUCCAGGACUGACUGAAGCCCGUGAGGACAGUCCAACACGUCAGCCUUAGGACCCUCAGAAGGACAGGUGGCUGAAACAGGUUUUCAGGAGCCUCUCCUUCUGCCUGAGAGGAUCCCGGAAGAGAGCUCAGCAGAAGGAGCAGGGACUCUCCAUCCUCGUAGAAGCAAAAGGCUUUCUUUCUGUCUGCCUUUUACUGACCACCGUGAAAGGCCUAGCCUGUGUCCAGUGCCCCGGGUCUUGGUGAAUAAGGUGUGGGCACCGUCGAAAGCUAAUCCCCGUUCGUUGUCUCUAGCCACGACUCAAGGGUUCGGCGGCUUGUCUUUGGAAAUGAGUCAACCAACAGUUGGGGAGAAAAACUGUACCUCCAAAAUCACUAAUGACACACCUUCAAAGGCUUGUCCUUUCGUUUACCAAACCUGGAGUUUAACAACUCGAGACCACACUUCCUUGCCUCUGGUAAGCCUGGUGUUUCACUGAGAUCAUAAAACUGAAGUAAAGGUCAGCAG